ACGGGACCGAAGUCGUUCGAAAUAGGCAUUUAAGCCUUUUUUGCGGACAGAUAAGAGCCGAUGACUCCGUGCCCUCAUUGUUUUCUGCAUCCCAGCGCCCGAGCGAGAAUUCAUGGACCACGAAACCGACACAAAACGUGCAGUACGGGGGACACGAAUCUCGUUUCGAGUUUCACCCGUGACCGCACCGAGAACGGGCAGUCUAAGGCGAACACAGCUAGAGAUUGCCAACCGAAUUCCAUCAUGUAGGUACRAAACACAGGAAACCGAGAGACGGCCAAUGAAAAUUGUGCCCACUAUGAAGAAGAUAGCGAGCUAGGACGUCUCUGCACGAGGCAGGGAUCCAA
rnacentral:misc_RNA from 1 species